rnacentral:snoRNA from 2 species
CUCAAAAUGAUGACACUUUGUCAACUGACUUUGGUUAGAUUCAACCUAUUUUUGGAAAAAUCUAAAAUACCAAAACUACACAACAGGAUGUUCGCAUUUAGCGAGGCAUUUGUCUGAUUGAGUG